CGGCAACAGCUCAAAUUUGAAAUCUGGCCUCUCGGGGUCCGAGUUGUAAUUUGUAGAGGAUGUUUUGGGUACCGCCCCGGUCUAAAUUUCUUGGAACAGAAUGUCAGAGAGGGUGAGAGCCCCGUACGGUUGGACGCCUAGCCUUUGUAAAGCUCCUUCGAC
rnacentral:rRNA from 1 species